CUGCGACCACAUCAAGUUAAAACACUGAUUCCCGUACGAUCACCAAAGUUAAGCGACAUCAAGCCUGGUCAGUACCUAGAUGGGUGACCGCUUGGGAAUACCAAAUGCU